CAUGAUAACUUAACGAAUCGCAUGGCCUUGCGCGGCGAUGGUUCAUUCAAAUUUCUGCCCUAUCAACUUUCGAUGGUAGGAUAGUGGCCUACCAUGGUAUCAACGGGUAACGGGGAAUUAGGGUUCUAUUCCGGAGAGGGAGCCUGAGAAACGGCUACCACAUCCAGGGAAGGCAGCAGGCGCGCAAAUUACCCAAUCCCGACACGGGGAGGUAGUGACAAUAAAUACUGAUACAGGGCUCUUUUGGGUCUUGUAAUUGGAAUGAGAACAAUUUAAAUCCCUUAACGAGGAACAAUUGGAGGGCAAGUCUGGUGCCAGCAGCCGCGGUAAUUCCAGCUCCAAUAGCGUAUAUUAAAGUUGUUGCAGUUAAAAAGCUCGUAGUUGAACCUUGGGCCUGGCUGGCCGGUCCGCCUCACCGCGUGCACUUGGUCCGGCCGGGCCUUUCCUUCUGGGGAGCCGGCAUGCCCUUCACUGGGUGUGUCAGGGGAACCAGGACUUUUUACUUUGAAAAAAAUUAGAGUGUUCAAAG
rnacentral:rRNA from 1 species